CAUGUAGGCGGCUCGCCAAGUCUGAUGUGAAAGCCCUGGGCUCAACCCAGGAAGUGCAUUGGAUACUGGAUAACUUGAGUACGGGAGAGGAAAGUGGAAUUUCGAGUGUAGGGGUGAAAUCCGUAGAUAUUCGAAGGAACACCAGUGGCGAAGGCGGCUUUCUGGACCGAUACUGACGCUGAGAUGCGAAAGCGUGGGGAGCAAACAGGAUUAGAUACCCUGGUAGUCC
rnacentral:rRNA from 1 species